CGAAGUGGGUGAAAUGAUGAAUCUUUAUAUCCUUAGAAAAUGUUCUGCUACGAACAGACUAAUCACUGCCAAGGAUCACGCAUCCGUCCAAA